rnacentral:rRNA from 1 species
GACGAACGCUGGCGGCGUGCCUAAUACAUGCAAGUUGAGCGCUGAAGGCUGGUACUUGUUCCAUCUGGAUGAGCAGCGAACGGGUGAGUAACGCGUGGGGAAUCUGUCUUUGAGCGGGGGACAACACUUGGAAACGAAUGCUAAUACCGCAUAAAAACUUUAAACACAAGUUUUAAGUUUGAAAGAUGCAAUUGCAUCACUCAAAGAUGAUCCCGCGUUGUAUUUGCUAGUUGGUGAGGUAAAGGCUCACCAAGGCGAUGAUACAUAGCCGACCUGAGAGGGUGGACAGCCACAUUGGGACUGAGACACGGCCCAAACUCCUACGGGAGGCAGCAGUAGGGAAACUUCGGCAAAGGACGAAAGUCUGACCGAACAACGCCGCGGGAGGGAAGGAGGGUUUCGGAUCGGAAAACUCUGUUGGUAGAGAAGAACGUUGGUGGGAAUGGAAAGCUCAUCAAGUGACGGUAACUACCCAGAAAGGGACGGCUAACUACGUG